ACCCUCUCAAGAUUGCACCUGGUGGGUUUCCAGUACUCUACCAGUCUCAGCUACAGGAGGAGAGUCGAGCAGAGGCAUACCCGUUCCAUUCCUAGCUUGGCCAGUGGCUAGCGAGUGGAAAACAAUCCGCUACAAGU